CCUCUGGAUGGAAACAGAGAGAUCAAUGUGAGAGAUCACUAUAGGGCAGACCUGGAAAUGCAUCCUGACUGCUCACCUUCCUCUGGACAUGCCUGUCACAUGACCCACCUCGUGACCCUACCUAACUGCAUGUGGGGCUGGGAGAUGUAGUCAAGCUCUGUAUCUGGAAGUUCUAGCUAUAGGUUAUAAGAAGUUGUUCAUCUAGAUGUAAUCAAGAGAACUGAAAUUGCUAAAGAAAAGAAUUUUGGAGAGGAAUAUUGACUAUCACCUAUAGCAUUUUAUACUGGGAAGGUGUUCUGUCACAACACAUGCCAGAUUAUGUCUGCUUCUUGAGUAAAUGGUUGUCCCCUUAUUAUUCCAUGUGCUGUAUCAGAUCACAC